UCCCAUGUGGCUCAGUUCAUAGAGCAUGGCACUUGCAAUGCCAGUGUUAUGGGUUCGAUUCCCAUAGGGGAA
rfam:Salmo salar isolate Sally breed double haploid chromosome ssa27, whole genome shotgun sequence.